CUGACCUACGGGGCGCAGCAGUGAGGAAUAUUGGUCAAUGGGCGGGAGCCUGAACCAGCCAAGUCGCGUGAGGGAAGACGGUCCUACGGAUUGUAAACCUCUUUUGCCGGGGAGCAACGGGGUCCUUGCGCGGGCCCGAUGAGAGUACCCGGAGAAAAAGCAUCGGCUAACUCCGUGCCAGCAGCCGCGGUAAUACGGAGGAUUCGUGCGUUAUCCGGAUUUAUUGGGUUUAAAGGGUGCGUAGGCGGGCUGUUAAGUCAGUGGUC
rnacentral:rRNA from 1 species